rnacentral:rRNA from 1 species
UGGGGAAUUUUGGACAAUGGGGGAAACCCUGAUCCAGCCAUCCCGCGUGUGCGAUGAAGGCCUUCGGGUUGUAAAGCACUUUUGGCAGGAAAGAAACGUCAUGGGUUAAUACCCCGUGAAACUGACGGUACCUGCAGAAUAAGCACCGGCUAACUACGUGCCAGCAGCCGCGGUAAUACGUAGGGUGCAAGCGUUAAUCGGAAUUACUGGGCGUAAAGCGUGCGCAGGCGGUUCGGAAAGAAAGAUGUGAAAUCCCAGAGCUCAACUUUGGAACUGCAUUUUUAACUACCGGGCUAGAGUGUGUCAGAAGGAGGUGGAAUUCCGCGUGUAGCAGUGAAAUGCGUAGAUAUGCGGAGGAACACCGAUGGCGAAGGCAGCCUCCUGGGAUAACACUGACGCUCAUGCACGAAAGCGUGGGGAGCAAACAGG